CAGCUUUGAAUUUUUAACUUAUCAUUGUCUCUACACUUCUUUAACUGUGUUUAACUAGGCUGUGUCCUGGGAGACUGUGUGGCCUAAAGCAUCCCUCUCACAAUAUACUGAAGUUCAGUUUGGAAAUACCCCUCCCCUCAACUGGCUCCAGCACUUCCACAGCUUUUCUACAUUUCAGCAGAAGCCUGGCCUAGCAUACCUUCAUGGACUGUUCCAAGGGGAAGAGUUCCCAUGAUGAACUUCUGGUUGAAAUUCUGGAGAGGGCCAAAAAGCAGGUCCAGUACCAGAAACAAGGACUUACGCCUAGAGAAAAGUCAUGCAGAGAGGCAGGAGGGGAGGCUCACUGCAUGGCAUGAAGACAAGGUUCCAUGAGUUUUGGUUGCCUGAUAUGCUGAGAGUGCUCCAUGCAGCAGAAGUGAUCCUGACUCAUUUUCUUAGAGUGAAUGGCAGUGCUGCGC